GACAGAGGUGCCGAGCGUUAGGCGGAAUCACUAGGCUUAAAGCGUGUGUAGGCGGACUUCUAAGUACCUUGUGAAAUCCCACGGCUCAACCGUGGAACGGCUGGGUAUACUGGCGGUCUUGGGCCACCUAGGGGUCAUCGGAACAGGCGGUGGAGCGGUGAAAUGCGUAGAUAUCGCCUGGAACGCCGACGGUGAAAACAGAUGACUGGGGGUGUGCCGACGCUGAGACACGAAAGCCAGGGGAGCGAACGGG
rnacentral:rRNA from 1 species